rnacentral:rRNA from 1 species
GACAGAGGGUGCAAACGUUUGUUCGGAAUUACUGGGCGUAAAGCGUGUGUAGGCGGCCACGUAAGACGGAUGUGAAAGCCCCGGGCUCAACCCGGGAAGUGCACUCGAUACUGCGUGGCUUGAGUACUGGAGAGGUUGGUGGAAUUCUCGGUGUAGAGGUGAAAUUCGUAGAUAUCGAGAGGAACACCGGUGGCGAAGGCGGCCAACUGGACAGAUACUGACGCUGAGACACGAAAAGCGUGGGGGAGCAAACAGG